rnacentral:rRNA from 1 species
GUGGGGAAUAUUGCGCAAUGGGGGAAACCCUGACGCAGCAAUACCGCGUGAGUGAAGAAGGUUUUCGGAUCGUAAAACUCUUUUAUUGGGGAAGAAGAAGUGACGGUACCCAAUGAAGAAGUCCCGGCUAACUACGUGCCAGCAGCCGCGGUAAUACGUAGGGGACAAGCGUUGUCCGGAAUCACUGGGCGUAAAGGGCGCGUAGGCGGUUUUAUAAGUCAGAUGUGAAAGGUACCGGCUCAACCGGUGACGUGCAUUUGAAACUGUAAGACUUGAGUACUGGAGAGGCAAGUGGAAUUCCUAGUGUAGCGGUGAAAUGCGUAGAUAUUAGGAGGAACACCGGUGGCGAAGGCGGCUUGCUGGACAGAUACUGACGCUGAGGUGCGAAAGCGUGGGGAGCGAACAGGAUUAGAAACCCUAGUAGUCC